rnacentral:rRNA from 1 species
AUUGAACGCUGGCGGCAUGCUUUACACAUGCAAGUCGAACGGUAACAGGCCUUCGGGUGCUGACGAGUGGCGAGCGGGUGAGUAAUGCAUCGGAACGUGCCCAGAGGUGGGGGAUAACGCAGCGAAAGCUGUGCUAAUACCGCAUGUGAUCUGAGGAUGAAAGCGGGGGACCAAGCAGCAAUGUUUGGCCUCGCGCCUCUGGAGCGGCCGAUGUCAGAUUAGGUAGUUGGUGGGGUAAAGGCCUACCAAGCCGACGAUCUGUAGCUGGUCUGAGAGGACGACCAGCCACACUGGGACUGAGACACGGCCCAGACUCCUACGGGAGGCAGCAGUGGGGAAUUUUGGACAAUGGGCGCAAGCCUGAUCCAGCAAUGCCGCGUGCGGGAAGAAGGCCUUCGGGUUGUAAACCGCUUUUGUACGGAACGAAAAGGCUCUGGCUAAUACCUGGGGCUGAUGACGGUACCGUAAGAAUAAGCACCGGCUAACUACGUG